UACAGAGGGUGCAAGCGUUGCUCGGAAUCAUUGGGCGUAAAGGGCAAGUAGGUGGUCUUAUUUGUCUCGUGUGAAAUCCUUGGGCUUAACCCAAGAAGUGCGCGAGAAACGGUGAGACUAGAGUUCUGGAGAGGGUCGUGGAAUUCCCGGUGUAGCGGUGAAAUGCGUAGAGAUCGGGAGGAACACCAGAGGCGAAGGCGGCGACCUGGACAGACACUGACACUCAACUGCGAAAGCGUGGGGAGCAAACAGG
rnacentral:rRNA from 1 species